rnacentral:misc_RNA from 1 species
UACAGCGCCAUCGGCCCCUCCGCCUUCACCGUCUUCACUGCGCAAUCCAACGCCCCUGCAUACGGUGCCGCCUCCCCUGCCUCCACCUUCAUGUUCAUCACUCUUGUCUUUAUCACGUCUACCGGGUUUGAUGCCACCGCCGCCACGAACCCUGCCGCGAAACUCGCUGUCACGUGGGUGCCAAGCCCAUCGCUCAUCAACCUUUUUUCCAAAAUCAUUUCCUUGAAUUGGUCGUACGAUGCUAGCUGAGAAGCUGUCACCAGCAUGGCACGGUUCACCGUCAGCGAUGAGCCGCGCCACAGGCUUGUAAUGCCUUCUUGCCUUGCCAUGCGAGUGAUUGCGUCUA